rnacentral:rRNA from 1 species
UACGAAGGGGGCUAGCGUUGCUCGGAAUUACUGGGCGUAAAGGGCGCGUAGGCGGAUGUUUAAGUCAGAGGUGAAAGCCCAGGGCUCAACCUUGGAACUGCCUUUGAUACUGGGCAUCUUGAGUAUGGGAGAGGUGAGUGGAACUCCGAGUGUAGAGGUGAAAUUCGUAGAUAUUCGGAAGAACACCAGUGGCGAAGGCGACUCACUGGCCCGUUACUGACGCUGAGGCGCGAAAGCGUGGGGAGCAAACAGG